rnacentral:rRNA from 1 species
CCAUGCAGUCGAGGGGCAGCAUGAUUUGUAGCAAUACAGAUUGAUGGCGACCGGCGCACGGGUGAGUAACGCGUAUGCAACUUACCUAUCAGAGGGGGAUAGCCCGGCGAAAGUCGGAUUAAUACCCCAUAAAACAGGGGUCCCGCAUGGGAAUAUUUGUUAAAGAUUCAUCGCUGAUAGAUAGGCAUGCGUUCCAUUAGGCAGUUGGCGGGGUAACGGCCCACCAAACCGACGAUGGAUAGGGGUUCUGAGAGGAAGGCCCCCCACAUUGGUACUGAGACACGGACCAAACUCCUACGGGAGGCAGCAGUGAGGAAUAUUGGUCAAUGGCCGAGAGGCUGAACCAGCCAAGUCGCGUGAAGGAAGAAGGAUCUAUGGUUUGUAAACUUCUUUUAUAGGGGAAUAAAGUGGAGGACGUGUCCUUUUUUGUAUGUACCCUAUGAAUAAGCAUCGGCUAACUCCGUGCCAGCAGCCGCGGUAAUACGGAGGAUGCGAGCGUUAUCCGGAUUUAUUGGGUUUAAAGGGUGCGUAGGUGGUGAUUUAAGUCAGCGGUGAAAGUUUGUGGCUCAACCAUAAAAUUGCCGUUGAAACUGGGUUACUUGAGUGUGUUUGAGGUAGGCGGAAUGCGUGGUGUAGCGGUGAAAUGCAUAGAUAUCACGCAGAACUCCGAUUGCGAAGGCAGCUUACUAAACCAUAACUGACACUGAAGCACGAAAGCGUGGG